rnacentral:rRNA from 1 species
ACGAGACCUUAACCUGAUAACUAAACCUGUACAUUUUAUGUACGUGGUUUUCUUAUAGGAACUAUGCAUUGAACUGCAUGGAAGUUUGAGGCAAUAACAGGUCUGUGAUGCCCUUAUAUGUUCUGGGCUGCACGCGCGCUACACUGAUAUAUACAGCAAGUGCCUAGCUCGCUAGAGUAUGGCAAUCUCGAAUAUAUAUCGUGAUGGGGAUAGAUCUUUGCAAUUAUAGAUCUUGAACGAGGAAUUUCUAGUAAGUGUAAGUCAUCAUCUUACAUUGAUUAUGUCCCUGCCCUUUGUACACACCGCCCGUCGCUGCUACCGAUUGGGUGAUUUGGUGAGCCUUUUAGACUGCUCACGCGGAAAGAAAAGCAAAUCGUAUCACCUAGAGGAAGCAGAAGUCGUAACAAGGUAUCUGUAGGUGAACCUGCRGAAGGAUCA